GACGAACGCUGGCGGCGUGCUUAACACAUGCAAGUCGAACGGAAAGGCCCUGCUUUUGUGGGGUGCUCGAGUGGCGAACGGGUGAGUAAAACGUGAGUAACCUGCCCUUGACUUUGGGAUAACUUCAGGAAACUGGGGCUAAUACCGGAUAGGAGCUCCUGCUGCAUGGUGGGGGUUGGAAAGUUUCGGCGGUUGGGGAUGGACUCGCGGCUUAUCAGCUUGUUGGUGGGGUAGUGGCUUACAAAGGCUUUGACGGGUAGCCGGCCUGAGAGGGUGACCGGCGACAUGGGGACUGAGAUACGGCGCAGACUCCUACGGGAGGCAGCAGUGGGGAAUAUUGCACAAUGGGCGGAAGCCUGAUGCAGCAACGCCGCGUGCGUGAUGACGGCCUUCGGGUUGUAAACCGCUUUCGCCUGUGACGAAGCGGGAGUGACGGUAAUGGGUAAAGAAGCACCGGCUAACUACGUG
rnacentral:rRNA from 1 species